AAUGAACGCUGGCGGCAGGCCUAACACAUGCAAGUCGAACGGUAACAGGAAGACGCUUGCUUCUUUGCUGACGAGUGGCGGACGGGUGAGUAAUGUCUUGGAAACUGCCUGAUGGAGGGGGAUAACUACUGGAAACGGUAGCUAAUACCGCAUAACGUCGCAAGACCAAAGAGGGGGACCUUCGGGCCUCUUGCCGUCGGAUGUGCCCAGAUGGGAUUAGCUAGUAGGUGGGGUAACGGCUCACCUAGGCGACGAUCCCUAGCUGGUCUGAGAGGAUGACCAGCCACACUGGAACUGAGACACGGUCCAGACUCCUACGGGAGGCAGCAGUGGGGAAUAUUGCACAAUGGGCGCAAGCCUGAUGCAGCCAUGCCGCGUGUAUGAAGAAGGCCUUCGGGUUGUAAAGUACUUUCAGCGGGGAGGAAGGGAGUAAAGUUAAUACCUUUGCUCAUUGACGUUACCCGCAGAAGAAGCACCGGCUAACUCCGUG
rnacentral:rRNA from 1 species